rnacentral:rRNA from 1 species
UGUGUGACUGCGUACCUUUUGUAUAAUGGGUCAGCGACUUAUAUUCUGUAGCAAGGUUAACCGAAUAGGGGAGCCGAAGGGAAACCGAGUCUUAACUGGGCGUUAAGUUGCAGGGUAUAGACCCGAAACCCGGUGAUCUAGCCAUGGGCAGGUUGAAGGUUGGGUAACACUAACUGGAGGACCGAACCGACUAAUGUUGAAAAAUUAGCGGAUGACUUGUGGCUGGGGGUGAAAGGCCAAUCAAACCGGGAGAUAGCUGGUUCUCCCCGAAAGCUAUUUAGGUAGCGCCUCGUGAAUUCAUCUCCGGGGGUAGAGCACUGUUUCGGCAAGGGGGUCAUCCCGACUUACCAACCCGAUGCAAACUGCGAAUACCGGAGAAUGUUAUCACGGGAGACACACGGCGGGUGCUAACGUCCGUCGUGAAGAGGGAAACAACCCAGACCGCCAGCUAAGGUCCCAAAGUCAUGGUUAAGUGGGAAACGAUGUGGGAAGGCCCAGACAGCCAGGAUGUUGGCUUAGAAGCAGCCAUCAUUUAAAGAAAGCGUAAUAGCUCACUGGUCGAGUCGGCCUGCGCGGAAGAUGUAACGGGGCUAAACCAUGCACCGAAGCUGCGGCAGCGACGCUGAUGCGUUGUUGGGUAGGGGAGCGUUCUGUAAGCCUGUGAAGGUGUGCUGUGAGGCAUGCUGGAGGUAUCAGAAGUGCGAAUGCUGACAUAAGUAACGAUAAAGCGGGUGAAAAGCCCGCUCGCCGGAAGACCAAGGGUUCCUGUCCAACGUUAAUCGGGGCAGGGUGAGUCGACCCCUAAGGCGAGGCCGAAAGGCGUAGUCGAUGGGAAACAGGUUAAUAUUCCUGUACUUGGUGUUACUGCGAAGGGGGGACGGAGAAGGCUAUGUUGGCCGGGCGACGGUUGUCCCGGUUUAAGCGUGUAGGCUGGUUUUCCAGGCAAAUCCGGAAAACUAAGGCUGAGGCGUGAUGACGAGGCACUACGGUGCUGAAGCAACAAAUGCCCUGCUUCCAGGAAAAGCCUCUAAGCAUCAGGUAACAUCAAAUCGUACCCCAAACCGACACAGGUGGUCAGGUAGAGAAUACCAAGGCGCUUGAGAGAACUCGGGUGAAGGAACUAGGCAAAAUGGUGCCGUAACUUCGGGAGAAGGCACGCUGAUAUGUAGGUGAAGUCCCUCGCGGAUGGAGCUGAAAUCAGUCGAAGAUACCAGCUGGCUGCAACUGUUUAUUAAAAACACAGCACUGUGCAAACACGAAAGUGGACGUAUACGGUGUGACGCCUGCCCGGUGCCGGAAGGUUAAUUGAUGGGGUCAGCGCAAGCGAAGCUCUUGAUCGAAGCCCCGGUAAACGGCGGCCGUAACUAUAACGGUCCUAAGGUAGCGAAAUUCCUUGUCGGGUAAGUUCCGACCUGCACGAAUGGCGUAAUGAUGGCCAGGCUGUCUCCACCCGAGACUCAGUGAAAUUGAACUCGCUGUGAAGAUGCAGUGUACCCGCGGCAAGACGGAAAGACCCCGUGAACCUUUACUAUAGCUUGACACUGAACAUUGAGCCUUGAUGUGUAGGAUAGGUGGGAGGCUUUGAAGUGUGGACGCCAGUCUGCAUGGAGCCGACCUUGAAAUACCACCCUUUAAUGUUUGAUGUUCUAACGUUGACCCGUAAUCCGGGUUGCGGACAGUGUCUGGUGGGUAGUUUGACUGGGGCGGUCUCCUCCUAAAGAGUAACGGAGGAGCACGAAGGUUGGCUAAUCCUGGUCGGACAUCAGGAGGUUAGUGCAAUGGCAUAAGCCAGCUUGACUGCGAGCGUGACGGCGCGAGCAGGUGCGAAAGCAGGUCAUAGUGAUCCGGUGGUUCUGAAUGGAAGGGCCAUCGCUCAACGGAUAAAAGGUACUCCGGGGAUAACAGGCUGAUACCGCCCAAGAGUUCAUAUCGACGGCGGUGUUUGGCACCUCGAUGUCGGCUCAUCACAUCCUGGGGCUGAAGUAGGUCCCAAGGGUAUGGCUGUUCGCCAUUUAAAGUGGUACGCGAGCUGGGUUUAGAACGUCGUGAGACAGUUCGGUCCCUAUCUGCCGUGGGCGCUGGAGAACUGAGGGGGGCUGCUCCUAGUACGAGAGGACCGGAGUGGACGCAUCACUGGUGUUCGGGUUGUCAUGCCAAUGGCACUGCCCGGUAGCUAAAUGCGGAAGAGAUAAGUGCUGAAAGCAUCUAAGCACGAAACUUGCCCCGAGAUGAGUUCUCCCUGACUCCUUGAGAGUCCUGAAGGAACGUUGAAG